AGAGUUUGAUCCUGGCUCAGGACGAACGCUGGCGGUGUGCUUCACACAUGCAAGUCGAACGGAGUAGCAAUACUCAGUGGCGGACGGGUGAGUAACACGUGGGAAUCUACCAUUAGGUGGGGAAUAACAGGCCGAAAGGACUGCUAAUGCCGCAUAUGUAUGUGCCUCGACAGGGGCGUAUAUGAAAGGAGUAAUCCGUCUGAUGAUGAGCCCGCGUCCGAUUAGCUAGUUGGUAGGGUAAAAGCCUACCAAGGCGACGAUCGGUAGGUGGUCUGAGAGGAUGAUCACCCACAAUGGGACUGAGACACGGCCCAUACUCCUACGGGAGGCAGCAGUGGGGAAUUUUGUGCAAUGGGGGAAACCCUGACACAGCGACACCGCGUGAGCGAAGAAGCCCUUUGGGGUGUAAAGCUCUGUCAACGGGAACGAAAAAAAUGACGGUACCCGUGGAGGAAGCAUCGGCUAACUACGUGCCAGCAGCCGCGGUAAGACGUAGGAUGCAAGCGUUGUCCGGAUUUAUUGGGCGUAAAGAGUUCGUAGGCUGUUUGUUAAGUCUGAUGUUAAAGACUGGGGCUCAACCUCGGAAAUGCAUUGGAUACUGGCAGACUGGAGUGCAGUAGAGGCUAGUGGAAUUCCCAGUGUAGCGGUGAAAUGCGUAGA
rnacentral:rRNA from 1 species